AUCGAUGAAGAACGCAGCGAAAUGCGAUAAGUAAUGUGAAUUGCAGAAUUCAGUGAAUCAUCGAAUCUUUGAACGCACCUUGCGCUCCCUGGUAUUCCGGGGAGCACGCCUGUUCGAGUGUUAUGAAACUCUCAGAUAAUAAUUGGCUUACCCUGAUUAUUAUUUGGAUUUGAACUUGCUGUGUGUCCUUUAUUGGAUAAUGGCUUGUUUUAAAUGUAUCAGCUAGCCUUGAGCUCAGUGGUUCUACUUGACGUGAUAAUUAUCUUACGUUGAGGACAUUCUCUUGCUUGCAAGGGUUUGGCCAUUGGUGUCUUAUUGGUUGCUAUCUAAUCGUCUUCGGACAACUUUAUUCAUAUCUGACCUCGAAUCAGGUGGGACUACCCGCUGAACUUAAGCAUAUCAAUAAGCGGAGGAAAAGAAACUAACAAGGAUUCCCCUAGUAACGGCGAGUGAAGCGGGAUGAGCUCAAAUUUAAAAUCUGGCAGUCUUCGAUUGUCCGAGUUGUAAUCUAGAGAAGUGUUUUCCGCGCUGGACCAUGUACAAGUUUCCUGGAACGGAACGUCAUAGAGGGUGAGAAUCCCGUCCUUGACAUGGACUACCAGUGCUAUGUGAUACACUCUCAACGAGUCGAGUUGUUUGGGAUUGCAGCUCAAAAUGGGAGGUAAAUUCCUUCUAAAGCUAAAUAUUGGCGAGAGACCGAUAGCGAACAAGUACCGUGAGGGAAAGAUGAAAAGCACUUUGGAAAGAGAGUUAAACAGUACGUGAAAUUGUUAAAAGGGAAACGAUUGAAGUCAGUCGCGUUUACUUGGACUCAGCCUUACUUCGGUUUGGUGCAUUUCCUUGUAAACGGGCCAGCGUCAAUGUUGUCUACUGGAAAAGGGUUGAAGGAAUGUGGCUCUUUCGGGAGUGUUAUAGCCUUUGAUCGUAUACGGUGGCUGAUAUUGAGUGGUACAGCAUGCUUCGGCGGUGCUUGUGCUGGCAUAAUGGCUUUAAACGACCCGUCUUGAAACACGG
rnacentral:rRNA from 1 species